rnacentral:rRNA from 1 species
UACAGAGGGUGCAAGCGUUAAUCGGAAUUACUGGGCGUAAAGCGUGCGUAGGCGGAUAUUUAAGUCAGAUGUGAAAGCCCUGGGCUUAACCUAGGAAUUGCAUCUGAUACUGGAUGUCUAGAGUAUGGUAGAGGAUGGCGGAAUUUCCGGUGUAGCGGUGAAAUGCGUAGAUAUCGGAAGGAACACCAGUGGCGAAGGCGGCCAUCUGGGCCAAUACUGACGCUGAGGCACGAAAGCGUGGGGAGCGAACAGGAUUAGAUACCCUGGUAGUCCACGCCGUAAACGAUGAGAACUAGCUGUUGGGUAUAUAAAUAUCAAGUAGCGAAGCUAACGCGAUAAGUUCUCCGCCUGGGGAGUACGGCCGCAAGGCUAAA